UACAUAGGUCGCGAACGUUAUCCGGAAUUAUUGGGCGUAAAGGGUGCGUAGAUGGUAUAAUAAGUUAUCGGUGGGAAAUCGGGGCUCAACCCCGUGGAAGUUGAUAAUACUGUUGUACUAGAGUGCAGGAGAGGUUAACGGAAUUCCAUGUGGAGCGGUGAAAUGCGUAGAUAUAUGGAGGAACACCGAAAAAGGCGAAGGCAGUUAACUAUUCUGUUACUGACAUUGAGGCACGAAAGCGUGGGGAGCAAAAAGG
rnacentral:rRNA from 1 species